AGUCAAAAUCAUUACUUAAUUCUGUUGAUCAAAAUAAGUUGGAAUCGGAAUCGGAAUGACUCAUUACUUAAUUCUGUUUGGUUCAUCACUUGAAUCGGAAUCGGAAUAAAUCAUUCCCAUUGUCGGUGUUUAGUUCAGGUGGAUAUAAAAAACGUAAUCAAAUUAAUAUACUAAUAUUGUCUUUAUAAUAUAUUAAUUUAAAUUCAAAUUAAAAAUUAAAUAUUAAAAAUUUACAUCAAAAUUUUGAAAUAAUGUCAAAAUUUUAAAUCUAUUUUUUUAAAAAAAAAUUAAACUUUGAAGUUGAGUGGAUAAUUCAAGAUAUGAAACUAAAUUUUGAUUUAUUCAAAUUCAAACUUAAAAUUACAAUUUAAAUUUUAAUUUGAAUCUAUAAAUUUAAUUUAAGUUUGAAAGAAAAUUUGAAUAAAACUUUAUAUAAAUUAAAAUUUAAUUUAAACUCAAAUUCAUAAGUUAGAUUCGAAAUACUUGAUUAAAUUUUAAUUUUUAAUUUAAGUUCAAAUUAAAAUUUAAAAUUAUGUAUUUAAUUUUUAAAUUUUAACUCAUAGUUUAAUUAAAAAAUUUGAAAAAAUAAAUUUAAUCGGAAUAAAUAUCCAUUCCGUCCGGAUUCAACUUCUAAUCUGGCCUCCUAGGCCGGAUUGAAAAAAGAGGUGAUUAGGAGAUUCCCAUUCCACUCGGGAAUCGAAAUCGGAAUGGGACUCCCGCGUACCAAACACCGACAAACGGAUUCACCCAUUCCGAUUCCGAUUCCAAAGUGAAAAAGAAGCGAACCAAACACGCCCUAAGUGCAGUAGAUAAAACCCCCACUAGAUACUGGA
rnacentral:lncRNA from 1 species